rnacentral:lncRNA from 1 species
GUUUAUUUAGAAGGACUCAAAGCAACAGUGUCUGGCAUGAUAGUAAUUUAAAAAAAAAAAAGACGAGCAAAUAAAGAACCCAGAAAUUUAAGAUAUAGUGUUUGUUAAAGCAUGCUUCUUCUAAAAUAAUUGUGCAAAAAUAUAACUGGAGGGGCUUCUAAGGAGGCACAAUUGCCAGACAAGCAAGCACUCGGGCAGGUGUAACCCACUCAUAUAUAAUUGCACUCGGGCAGGUGUAACCCACUCAUAUGUAAUUGCACUCGGGCAGGUGUAACCCACUCAUAUAUAAUUGCUUAACCAGGUGGUUACUUAGUGUAAGUAUUUCACCAAAUCAGUUAUUUUAGAAACAUUAAUGGAAAAAGUCAACCCACACCAUGAUCUACUCGCCAUGCAGAAAGGAAUUAGCUAGUGUACUGUCUUCUCUCAUUUCAUAUGAAUACACGACAGAGUUUUCAUUGCUUGUUUUGUUUUUUGAUUAUUUAAAUUUAUACAUAUGUAUAGGCAUAAGUCUAGCUUAAAAUUGAAAUAGAAGUAAUUCCCUUCUAGUUGAAAGAAAUGCUUUUUUCUUCCUUUCUUCCUUCUGUUCUUUCUUUCUUUUUCUUUCUUUCCUUCCUUCCUUCCUUCCUUCCUUCCUUCCUUCCUUCCUUCCUUCCUUCCUUAUUUCCUCUCUCUCCCUCCCUCCCUCCCUUCCUUCCUUCCUUCCUUCCUUCCUUCCUUCCUUCCUUCCUUCCUUUCUUCAUGCCCCCACCGCUCUCUUUCUUCUCUUCUUUGUUUGUUACCUACUGAGCUUCACUAUAGUUGUUUAUAUACACAUGGGUGAGAGUUUGCUUACAAAAGCAUGGGAGCCAUGUUAAGUGGCUACACCACUGAAUAAACUAUCUGCCUUCUGUCAUCUACCUUUAGCUGCUUAUAAAUUCUCAAUAAAGUAUCAAGCAACCAUUACUAGCCUAUCAAUCUCUAGAGAGGGUGGCAGAGACAAUGAGUUUUCAAAAAAAUACUACUAUAAAUGAAAUACUAUUAACAUAUAACAUAGCCUGGUCUAAUGCUCUUUUAAAACAUAGCUUAAUAUUACUUCAUUUGCAUGCCAUUGUUAGAAUGAUGACAUGACUUACUUUUGUAUGUUUCAAAUUAUUUAAUUACAAUGUAUUUUUCAUGUUCAGGUGUCACCUGUCAAAUAUUUGUGUCCUGAAAAGUACCACUUUUUAAUGAAGGACAAAAAAUGAGGAGUAAAUGGUUUUUUGAUUUAUUUGUUGUAUCAUUUUAAUGAAUAAUAACUCCUUAAAAGGUGGCAGAGAACACUGAUUUUAUUAAUUUAUUUCUAAUAAUAUGAUGACUAUAUGACUUAGCUGCAUAACAUGAUUUUAAAAGAUGUGUCCAUUUAUAAUAUUUUUAAGUGAAUUAAUUGAAAUAUAAAUUAGUACACAGUUGUGCUAAUUAUUAUAUUGUUUGCUAUCUAAUAUUAAUAUCUUUACAAUAUAUGUAAUAUAUUUAUUAAUAUGUUAUUUUAAAGUUUUUGCCUCAUGGCAUACAUACAAUGAAUGGAUGAUGUUAGUUGAAUAAAGGAAUGCUCUUUUAGCUAUAGCACUGCAGUGUUGUAAGGGAAUUGAUUUUAUGAUCACCAUCUUACCAUUUCCAGCUUUAUGUUGUUCAGUAUUUUCAAAUUGGCACCUAAUUCUUAGAAUCUUCUAAAAUUUCACUUGGUUAUUUACUAUAUAUUGCCACUAUAAGUGGGAAAACUUUAUACCUUUUUGGUUUUGUUUAGACAAAAUAACUGUUUCUCUUCUAAUUAUAUUUGUGCCAUAGAAUUAUAUGUUGAUAAAUGAGGAAAAUAAAUCAAAAUCCAUCAAAGUACGAUUAUUCUGGCUCAGAGUUACAAAAGAGCAAGGUAGAAAGAGUUCAACAUCUUUAACUGUUUACUGACUAUUGCUUUGUCUUAUUUAUAACUCAUUCUGAUACCCUCAAGUGGGAAACAUGUAUGGAAACUCUUUCAAUGGUUGUGGCAAUCUUUUACAAACAUCAAGAAAAUUUGCAAAUUCCCAAAAAUGCUCUAAAUGCUCUGAAGGUAUCAUUGAAUAUACAGAAACAUAUCAGAAGGAAAGACUCAAUUUUUAUUGACAAGAUGGCUUAGUGGGUAAGAAUCCUUGUUCUGCAAGCAUAUAGAAAUGACUUCAAAUGACUUUUUAUGUUAGUGACUCCAAACACUCACAUAAAAAGCCGAGAUGGGGUGCAUGUGCCUGUAACCCAAACAUUGGAAGUGGAGAUAGAUAGAUUCCCGGUCCUGAUGGACCAGCCAAUGUACCUGAAAUGAAGAGCUUCCAGUUAAGUUGAAGACCCUAGUCUCAUGGCAGUAAGGCAGAGAGCAAUAGAGAUAAAUACCCAAUGUUCUUUUUUUUCCCCUUCACAUGCAUGCUUAUGGGGUGGCAGUCCUUGCAUGCACCACACACAUGCACAGC